CCUACGGGUGACAGCAGUGAGGAAUAUUGGUCAAUGGACGAGAGUCUGAACCAGCCAAGUAGCGUGAAGGAUGACUGCCCUAUGGGUUGUAAACUUCUUUUAUAUGGGAAUAAAAUGUUCCACGUGUGGGAUUUUGUAUGUACCAUAUGAAUAAGGAUCGGCUAACUCCGUGCCAGCAGCCGCGGUAAUACGGAGGAUCCGAGCGUUAUCCGGAUUUAUUGGGUUGAAAGGGUGCGUAGGUGGAUUGUUAAGUCAGUUGUGAAAGUUUGCGGCUCAACCGUAAAAUUGCAGUUGAAACUGGCAGUCUUGAGUACAGUAGAGGUGAGCGGAAUUCGUGGUGUAGCGGUGAAAUGCUUAGAUAUCACGAAGAACUCCGAUUGCGAAGGCAGUUCACUGGACUGCAACUGACACUGAGGCUCGAAAGUGUGGGUAUCAAACAGGAUUAGAUACCCGUGUAGUC
rnacentral:rRNA from 1 species